AGCAUAACCGUUGAUUAGAAAAGGAAUCAAAUUAAAUUUUCUUUGUGCUUUGAUUGUUCGCAUUUUCUUUUAAUUUUAAUCACCAAUUAAUCUUAAUUUCUCUCUAAUUGUUGGACCAAUUUGUGAGUAUUGACACUUUCAAAAUCUCUCACUGGUUGUAAAGGAAUUAAAAAGCUUAGGCCUAACCUUUUUCCGGUUAAAUUUGUUCAUUAGUGGAACACAUCAAAUUAUUAAAUUGACGAAGUGUUGUCAGUCCAAUUAACAAUUUGAUUUAUACCCGUUUUAAUUAAUCAAAGAAAAGGAGAAAAGGUUGAGACUUGGAACCAAAGGUAAUUAAAUGAUAUAUUUAAAGAGAGAGGAGGAAGUGAUAAAGGAGAACCAAGUGAAACCAAAGAUACGACAAGUCAAACAUUAAUUAAUUAACUACACAAUCAAAUUUAAAGUGAAAUUUUAUUCCAACAUAUAUAUUUAUCUGUAUAUAUAUUAGAUGUUUACUCUCUCAGGUAAGAUUGUGAUUAAGGAAAGGCCAUUAACUAACUCUAAAUGAGUUACAUUCAAAAAGUUAACCACACCCAAGUGUCACUUGGAUUCACAGUAAAUAAAUAUCAAGAAUUGGAAAGAAUUUGUUCUUGGUGUAACAAACGUAAAACAAGUGCCCUUGGAUCGUUGGAACUUUAAAGAAGGAGAAGGAAGAGAAGAUGAAACAAAUAAAGAAGCUUGAAUGUGACAGGAAACAAUUUUACUUGGGAGGAGCUCAUUUCAAAGAUUUUGUCAUAAUUAGAGUUACUCAUUAGUCUUUUGCAGACAAAAUGAAAAGGAGAAACAAUUAAAUGAAGAUAGAGAUGAUAGUAGGAAUCAACAUCAUCAUCAUCAUCAAAGCACAAGGCAGAUGGCUUAUGCACAAUUAACGGACAUUGAGAUGAUGAUGAUUAUUGAAAAACGAGAAAGAGAAGAUAAAUUAAUAGAAAGAGAAAAUGAUUAACAGGAGAGAGAGGUGAAGUUUACACACCAAACAUUCAAAUGAGUAUCUCUCAUCAACUUUCAUCCUCAUCCCUAGGAAAAAGGAGCUAGAAAAUAUCGUGAUUUGUUUUCUAUUCAUAUUAAUUUUUAUCUUCAUCUUAUCUUCUCACUCCCUCUUACCUUUUUCUCCUUCACCAUAUGUUUAAUUAUCUUAAAACAAUCAUCAUCAUUAAUAUCAUGUAACCUCCUUCCUCCACUUAUAUAUACCUGUAAUAAUCUCACUCACUCUCUCUCUCUCUCUCCAUCUAUCUUUCUCCCCUAAUCUCACUCACUCACUGAUGAUGCUUUUAAAUUUUAAAUGAUUUUCUGGUCUUACCUUUAAACAAGAUUGAAGUUGGUGCCAAUAUCGGCACCAAGGUAAGCACGAAAAACCCAUUGCCACUUGUAUCACAAAUCAUAUACAUUAAUUUGCUUUUAAUGUGAUGAUAAUCAACCAACAUCAACCCCUAAUAACACUUUAUCAUUUUCCUGUAUAAUAACGUUGAUAAGUAUAAUCAACGUUAUUAUUAAUAAUCAGAAAACAAACAACAACAAACCUGAUUUUUUGUUGUAACUAAAAAAAAAUAACUAACUAUUAAUGAUUAUCAUCAUCAUCAGAUAAUAAUCAUGCUAAUAAAUAGUAAUGAGCAACAAUAGAGUGAAAAUUACACUGAUGAAUAUAAAUAUACCUUUAAUCAGUUUAGAAUUACAUUAUAUCAUAGUAACAAUUAAUUUGGUAUAAUUAUUUUAUUUAUAAGAUUAAUUGAAAUCAUUCAUCUUAUUGAUUAUCUCUCACAACGAUUCAACUUACUAAUUGUAAACUUUUUUUUUCUUUUUCAGAUUUUGGCUCGAAAAUAUCUUUGAAUAUCCUCGAACUUGCAAUGUCCAAAUCUCUCUAGUAUUUAACCUCUUUGGGUCUUUUGGUUUCUCAGAUUUAAGCCUAACGAACAUGGUUCAAUAAAUGGUUAACUUGAUUGCUGGAAACAAAACUCAUUAAUCCUCACCUCCUAAAUGAUGAUGACAGUAAAUUGUCUAGAAUAAUUAAUUCAUCUAAUAUCUGUCUUACCUUUCCUUGUUUUAAUAUUUAACAUUUUUAUCUUAUUACACAGUAAUUAACUGAUUGAAAUAAUGAUUAACUAAUUGUUAAGUAGCAAGUAGAAAAGGAAAGACAAAAUAACAACAAAGAAUCAUCAUAUUAUUAUUAUAUAUAAAAAGGUUUGUAAGGUUAACAAAAAACUUGUCAAGUUACAAGAAAAUAAAUGAUGAUGAUUAUGAUUAAAGUUAAUUAUGACAGUCAAACAUUAUUAGUAUCCAAAAGCAAUCAAGAUAAUCAGUUUUCAAACAGUUCAUUUAUCACCCAGCAAAAGACAAUCAAACAUGUGAACCCAUUCAUAUAACUCAUAUUUUAAUCAUUUACAUUUACUAUUAACUUGGUAAACAAUCAACGAUAAACAAUUUACUGAUCAAUAUCAGUUAAUUUUGUCAACUGUAACCUCCACUUACCUCUAACAAUCAAAGUGCAAGUGAAUUGAAAAUUUAUUAUAUAAAAAGCAUUUCAAUUGUCACUAAAUGAUCUCAGUGAUACUAAUUGUCAUGAAAACUUUUCCUUGACAAUUAACACUGUCAUUGAAAAUUGAUUCUAAUUCUUAACAGGGACUAUUAUUAAUUACUUGUAAUAAUGAGACUAAAUCAUUUUAAAUUAACAGCAUGGUUAACAAUCAUAAUGAUCAUUAUUUAUCUUGAUUAACUUUUUUUUUUCUUGACUUAAGUUAAUCUUUGAUUAUCAUUAUUAAUGGACAAUCGUUAUGGUUGCUUAAUCAUUGUUAAAUAAUAUUCAUCAUUAACUGAUUGUCAUGAUUAACAUGAUGAUGAUGAUGAUGAUGAUGAUGAUGAGUGGGAGGUUUGAACUCCUCCUAACUAACUAAAUAUAUUGUUAACUAAUUGUAGUUUUUUUUACAAUCAGGUAACAAGAAAAAAAGUUUUAAUUGUUGUUUCAUUUUCAUCUUUCCUCUUUUUUUUUCUCGUUGAUUGUGAUCAACUUAAAUUGUUAAUGAUCAUGGUUACAUGGUGAUGAUUAUGAUUAUGAUGAGAUUGUGGUAGAUAAAUUGAAAAUAAUAAACUAAAUUGUUUCCAAUUUAAGGUGAAAGUUUUGUCACAAUUUGAAUUGUUCACAAUUAACGAGUUAAAUUAUCAAGUUUCAUUAAACGCUAAUCAUAAUCACUGGACAAAAUUGAACAAAGCAAAUUGUUUGUCAUUAGUUAAUUGUGAAGGUGACACUUUAUCGUAAUAAUUGUUAGUAAAAAUUAUUACGAUUGAUUGUUGUUUGUUGAUUGUUUCAAAUUUAUUGAUUAUAUCAGGAUUUACAAUCAACUGAUCUUAAUUAUAUAAUGAUAAUUAAUCAACUUGAUUGUGAUAAUUAUUGUAACAAUUGUACAAAGUUAUAAUACAGAUGACCAACACCCAGUAAGACUUAAUUGACAGGUUAAUUGUUGUUAUCAAUGUAACAAAUACACUUACAAUUAAAAUCUAAUCACAUAAAAUUAAGGUGUAAAUUGAUAUUAGUUAAUAUGAUUGAUAAUUGUUACAAUUAACUAUAAUCAAUUGACACAAGCCCAUUUUUCAUGUAAUAUUUGUUUAAUUGUGAAUUUUGUAAAUUUCAUUUAUCAUCAUGAAACAAUUUGAAUUUACAAUUAAAUUAGCAAUUAAAUAGAUGAUAAUUAUCAUGAUGAUAAUACAAACAAAUCAAAUUAAAUAAAAUGUAUAUAAUUGAGAGGAAAAUGAUUACAAUUACAAUCAAACAAUUUGAUUAUUUGUUUGAGAGGAAGAAAAGUUUCUCGGUGUAAUUAUUACAAUUUAUGGAUAAUUGAUAUUCAUAUGUAUUGUUAAAUUGUUAAGGUUCAAUUACUAUUUAAUCAUAAUCAGAGGAUGAAGUUAAUUGUUAAUCAUGAUAAGGAAAGAGACAAAAUCUGAUUAAUUGUUAUAUUAUUGUCUUGUGUGUGUGUGUGUCUGUAUAUGAAUGAGUUCAAGUGUAAAGGUUGGUUAAGGGUAAUGGUGUUAAACUUGUGGCUCAAGGAUUAAUAACUAAACAGGUAAGAUGAGGAUGAAAAUGAGGAUGAGGAUGAUAACUAAGAUGAUAAAGAGGAAAAAAUGAAACAAAAUUUAGUGUUUACUCAAGUAACUCUUUCUCUCCAUCUUCAUCAACAUUGUCAUCUUCAUCUUUCUUUCCUUUCUCUCUUUUGACAGGUAAGGAUGAUGAGAGGAAAGGAAGAGAGAGAGAGAGAGAGAGAGAGAGAUGAUAACUCACCUUCUCUCUCAGGUAAGGAAGCGAGCAAGGGUUAAGAUGAUGAGGAAGAUGAAGGAAAAUUUUUCUUGCCCAAAAUCAUUAUCAUUUUCAUGGUAGAGUGAUUUGAAAAUUUCCCUAAUUACAGGUUAAUUUGCAUAAGUUAUCAUUUAAAUAAUAAUAACAACAGGUAAUUACAAUUAAAAGACACAACGUAAGAGACAAAAAAUUUAGAUGAAUGAAAAAAAGUAUCAGAAGAAAAGUUUUUUUUUUCUCACCAUUAUCAUCCUUUAAAUGAUGAUUAUGAUUAAGUGGAGGAGGAAGAUGAUUAUAAUGAUCAUGUUGAUGAUGAGUGAUAAUUGAAAGUGUCACCUAAGGUUUAUCAUCAUUUUUUAUUACCUUUUACCUGAAAAAAUCAAUUUCCCAUAUGUAUUACCUGUUCAUUCAAGUCUAGUGAUAAUUAACAAUUAAAUCAUAAUCAUAAUCAUCCCUAAUGACGAUAAUAACACUCAAUAGUACCAAUUAACUGGUUUAACCAUCAAAAAAAAGGUUAAUUGUUCCUUGAUCAUUAUAAUUAUCUUAAUCAUUUGUUGUUACCUGAGAUUUAUAAUGAAUUUUAAUGAAUGAAUUUUUUUCCUCCAUUUUUUUGUUACUAUUAUUAAUGAUUACUAACCUUAAUUGUUGCUGUUAAAUUUGAUUGUUAACUUGAACUUCAUUUCCCAACAAAAAAACAAUUCUGAUAAUCAAUUCAACUAAUUGUCCGAUUUGAUUGUUGAGAUUUGUCAAUGUUAAUCCUCUGAAUGGUGAAAAUUGUUACUACCAAAUUGUAAACAAUUUAAUAUAUUAACAUUAAUAAACCAUCAACACAAUUUAGAUUCAUUAAAUAAUCUCAUUAAUUGUGAACAACAUAAUUACUGUAAAUCUGGUUUUCUAAUUUUUCCUAAUUUUUCACAUUAAUCAUCAUUUUUUUAUCUUUAAUCUUAAUCUUUCUGUUAAUCUUAAUCUUCUCACCUGAGAAAUUUUCUCUCAAACCAAUUAUCAUAUAAUCAUGAUCAUCUUAACAAUUAAUUUUCUGACUAAAUUAAAUCAGAGAAAACGAUAAUCAUGAAUCCAAAUGAACAAUAAUCACCUAAAGAUAUUAAAUUGUUUCAACGAUGAAAUGAAACCACAAAUCAAAUGAAUCUAUUGAUUGUUUUGUUGAAAUCGUGUAAAUAACAACAAAACAAUUAACAAUCAUCUGAAUCAAUUGAAUUAAGUUAAUCAUGUUUACGAAAUGAUGAAAAUAAAGAAAAUAAAGAAACAUGAAAAUUUGUUGAUUGUUACAAUUUGUAUACAAUAAAAGUUGUAACAAUCAACUGAUAUCAUUGAUAUUAUAAUAAUUGACUAUGAUUAUGAUUAAAAUUAACCUCUUAUUAUAAUCAACACUCAAUAUGUUGCAAGUAACAAUCAACUAAACACAAUUGGAACACCUUGAUUUCCUCUUACCUGUGGAAAAGGUAAAAAAAAAGUUAUGAAUGAAAAAAAAAAGGUAAACAUUUGAAUGGAGUAAAGUUGAGAUUUGUAUUGUAUUAAAAUGAGAGAAAGGAAGUUGAUCAUUUAUUUAAUUCUUUACACAAUUAACUAGUCUAUUCACAAUUAACGUUUUGACACUUUUCCUUUAUCAUUAUCAUCUUCAUCUUCAAUAUAAUCAUCAUCUUCUUCCCAUUGAUUGUAAUCAUUGACUGGAAAUCAAUUGAAAAGGUUACCAUAUAUUACAUAGUAUAAACAUAGAGGGAGGAGGUUGGAAGGUGGGUUUUUAUAAAUACACAGGGAGGGAUGAAGUUGUUUGGAUAUUUAUAUGUGUAUGUAUGUCUCUAGGUGUAACAAUAGAUGAUGAUGAUGAUGAAGAUGAUGAGGGAUGAUAAAUGAUGAUAAAAAUAAAGCCAACAAGUUAAGUGGAUUGUGGUUCAAUCUUUUAUGUGUAUUUGUCUAUGGUAACUUUUUACUCUUUGGACAAUAGGUGAUCGUUAAUAAUAAGUAAGUUAAAAUUGACAAUUUAAAUUGAUUGUCAUUCAUUUAUUGAUUGUGUGUGUGUGUGUGUAUGUUUAUUGUGAUCAACUGAUUGUUGACUUUGUAUAUUUAUAUUUAUCCUCUCUAUUCAGAUAUUUAACCUUUACUUUAUUGUGUUCAUUUGAUUGUGAUUAUAAAUUGUUGUAUUUCCUUUACGUUGAAUUGUUUUCAAUUAACCACAAUCACAAACUGUGACAAUUUGAUUAACUGUGUGUGUGUGUAUUUAUAUUUGUGUAUUUGAGGUUAACAAUCAAUUCUGAUUUUCUGUAGUUUAACAAAUGAUUAACAAACUAUUUUGUAUUAUCAUUAAAUCAUCACUUUUUUAAAAGUUUCACCGUUUUGAUUAAGUUAUCAUUUGAUUGUUGUUUUCUCCAGUAAAUUUAAUU